AAGAAGUUUGAGUAACGAAAGGGGAUUUUAGUUUUUUUAUAUGGGAGCUAAUGAUUAGUGUGGCGUUUAACUAUAGGCCAUAUCAGUGUAUUGUUUUAAGCUCUUGUUUAUAACUUCCCCGUUAGCGGGGUUCAGUUAGCAUCUUGAAAGCUGAAUUAGAUGUUUACACUUGCCUGAGCUGCGUGUUUGAUUAAAAUGAGUAAUCAGCAGCUCAUGUAGCACUUGUAGAAGUCUGAGGAGAUGAUUCAGCAGUUAGAAUGAGGUGUGAUUGAUCAGGAACGUAUCCAAAACCUUACGUUUCCAUUAGCACUGAAAGACAUAUUGUGCUAACCUGGGUGGGCCACGUGUACAGAUUACUGUCUGAGUUUGUGGUCUUACCUACGUGAAAACUCCAUAUUAAAAUAAAAGGAAUGAUAAUCAGCUCGUGCAAAAAUCUGUGAAGGCUGGGGAGACAUGUUUAGCUUGUGAUCACUAAUUUUUGGGCUUUGUUUUUUACAGUCAUCAGUCCAAAUAUGAAGCAUCAACAUAUACACCAUUGAAACGCCAACUGUUUAUUUCUCCAACACCAGUGCCAGCUCUGUCUAGCAUUCAUGGAGAGUCAUCUGAAAGCUAUGAUAAUUUGGAGGAGGUGAUGGAACAAGGUGAAACUAAGAAACCAUGAUCGUCAACCAACGUUUGACAAGCAAGAAAGGUCUUCCUCGACGCUACAAGCUAAGGCCUGAUGAUCCAAGGCGUUACGGUUUGCUGUCCGGAGUCCCUGCACCAUCAACAGAGGAACUUCUACAACACCUACGGACUUGCGGUGAUGGUAAAACUUUGCCACAGACAUAGGUGUUGGGGGAGGCAAGAGAAAACCCAAAACCUUCUUUAUUUUUGUUUCCUGUGUUUUAUUUAUUUA